UGUAACCGUGCCACGGGCGGGGGGUGGGGGGGGGGCUCUGGUAACAGCCGAAGGUCUGCCUUCUCCUGUAAACACCAGAGACUUUGACUGUCGCAGCUUCCAUGCACGGCGGCCAGCUCCCCCGAACACAGACGACCGGAAUUAGGGAUUCGUCCCUGCGGAAUACGAUCGAGUGAGCCGACCUGCUACACAGUCAUCAGACUGAGCGUGCGCCCUCUUUCCUGGGACCCGUGCUAGUUACAAGACUGACCACAUACAGGACACGAGAAAAACAGCAAUGCAUCUCAAAUGUAGGAAGAGUACAAACCAUG
rnacentral:lncRNA from 1 species